rnacentral:rRNA from 1 species
AGCGAACGCUGGCGGCAGGCCUAUCACAUGCAAGUCGAACGAACUCUUCGGAGUUAGUGGCGGACGGGUGAGUAACACGUGGGAACGUGCCUUUAGGUUCGGAAUAACUCAGGGAAACUUGUGCUAAUACCGAAUGUGCCCUUCGGGGGAAAGAUUUAUCGCCUUUAGAGCGGCCCGCGUCUGAUUAGCUAGUUGGUGAGGUAAAGGCUCACCAAGGCGACGAUCAGUAGCUGGUCUGAGAGGAUGAUCAGCCACAUUGGGACUGAGACACGGCCCAAACUCCUACGGGAGGCAGCAGUGGGGAAUCUUGCGCAAUGGGCGAAAGCCUGACGCAGCCAUGCCGCGUGAAUGAUGAAGGUCUUAGGAUUGUAAAAUUCUUUCACCGGGGACGAUAAUGACGGUACCCGGAGAAGAAGCCCCGGCUAACUUCGUG